UACGGAGGGUCCAAGCGUUGUCCGGAAUCACUGGGCGUAAAGGGUGUGCAGGUGGGGCAGCAAGUCAGAGGUGAAAGCCCGCGGCUUAACCGCGGAAGUGCCUUUGAAACUGCUGCUCUUGAGUCCCGGAGAGGUUGCCGGAAUUCGUGGUGUAGCGGUGAAAUGCGUAGAUAUCACGAGGAACACCAGAGGCGAAAGCGGGCAACUGGACGGGUACUGACACUGAGGCACGAAAGCGUGGGGAGCGAACAGG
rnacentral:rRNA from 1 species